GUUGUUAUAUGUAACUGAGGUAAAUUACUCCUGGGCAAAAUAACUCGUUAAAAGAGCUGUUCCCAUACCGGGAGUCGAACCCGGGCCGCCUGGGUGAAAACCAGGAAUCCUAACCGCUAGACCAUAUGGGAGCUGCCGAAAACAAUGAAGGACGCCUGCAUUCGGCAACUGCCGGAACCAGUGACCCGAAGGAUAGAACUUUUUUCCGUGCGUGAGAGUGGGGACAAAGUCAGUAACCAGCAGCGGAUGGCACUGUCUUCACCCUACCCCAGCGGCCAUAGUGUAACUCUUUCCAGAGCCCACCACACCCGGAGCCCAGCCGCGCAGUAAAUGUCUUUGUGUCUGUACCUAGUUUAAUCUCGUGGACUCUGGCAAGAUCAGCGUUCCAGGAGAGGUGGUCCUGCAGGAAGAGUUUAAGAUCAAAACGGUUGUGUUCUCUGUCCUCUCUCCCACGUAGGGAUGCUACUUUACUGACAGAAGAAUGUUAAGACGCUCAGCCUCCUGGCGUUCUGGUGGAUAGUGGGAAAGCGAAAACUAGUGGGUUCUUGCGAGGUCAUAGCCCACCUGGUUUACACACUGUGCCCAUCUCAAAUUAAAAACAAAACGAAGGAACAGGGUCGUUUUCUUUCUAGUCACAAUAGCCCCAUGCAUACAGGAACCAGAGAGCUAGAAGGGGAGAAAGUGCUCUCUUAUCUCUCACAGGUCUAUAAUCCGCUGUUAUUCUUCUUGCUGUUUAUCACUAAAAAUUGGAAGCUUUAUAGUUUUCAGAGAUAGACAGCCAGAAAUACAUACAGCCUGGACGGUGGUAGAAGAGCUGGGUGCCAGACUCACUUAACAUGCAACUGAAACCACAGUUCAUCACAAUCCCUUUAUUACUGUAUUACUACGAUCCCAAAUCCAAACAUCACAGAAAUUCGAUUUUCCUUGAAAAAUUGAUUUAAGAGGGUCUGGAGUGAUGGCUCAUUGAUCAAGAGCACUUCCCUGCUGGGGUGCGAGGCGUAAAGGAUGAAAGGGGGUGGCUCACGCCUUUAAUUCCAGCACUAGUGAGGUACAGGCUACUGGACCUCAGUGAGCUUGAGGCCAGCUUGGUCUACAGAGCGAGUUCCAGGACAGCCAAAGCUACACAGAGAAACCCUGUCUUGAAAACACAAAAAACAAACAAACAAACAAACAAACAAACAAGCAAAAACAACAGAAGAGCAGUCCCUAGCCACUCUUCCAGUUGAUCCAGCACCCACGGGAGACAUAUCACCUCUUCUAGCCCAAGGACCACAUGGUGCAGAUUACAUGCUGGCAAAACACCCAUACGCUGAAAUAAAAUGAAUUAAGAAAUGAAAGAGCUUGGUGAGUUACUGUAGCUUUCACUUUAUUCAAUUUUUUCUGUACAAGUUUGUGUUUUAUAAUUCAUAAGUAGAAAAACCAAUAUAAGCAAAAUUAACAAAUUAGGAAGAAAUAUUUACACCCCACAAACAAUUAUAUUCCCCUCCCCAACUGGAAAGUUAGCUCAGAAAAAAAGUGAAGCAGGACACGGUUCCCAGAUGAGGGAAUACACAGUCAGCAAAAGAGGCUGGGUCUCACUUCUACAAGCUGACACAAUCAGAAAGGUCUCCUUGAUCUCCACCUUUUAUUCAGAAGCAAUACUUCCUGGAGCUAUUGUGGGUGUGUGGGUGUGUGUGUGUGCAUUGCCCAGGCUAGUCUGUCAUUCCAGGUCUUAAGUGAUCCUCCUGCUGUUGUGACUGCAGGUGAAAGAUCCCCGCUUGACAUCAGCACAGCCAUCUCUUAAGAGUGAAAUAUUUUAAGUUGGCCUCUGCUUAGCCCCUAGACGUUAGACCAGAAAGUACAGAAAGCAUGUUCCCACCCACUUCCCAGGAAGUCGGCCGACCACAAGAACAGAUGGUAUAGACUGUCCUGUUCUCAGAACUGCAGGGCGGGAAACAUCUGCCAAGUCAGAUACUUUUAGUGCUAAAAUAGCUGUGAUCUUGUUUUACCUCUCACUUGCACUGCCCAUAUAAACUGUGUGGUUCUGCUGUUCGGGGCUCUUCACAUCCCUCCUGCGUGAGUACCGUGUCAAGCCCCGGUGCACUGGUAUCCCGAGUAAACCUCUUGUUUUUGCAUCAAGAUGUGAGUCCCGUGUGUUCGUGGGGUGGUAUGCAUCCUCAGGAUUGGAGCGAGGGUCUCCUCAAUCUGAGGGUCUUUCACAGGUAUGCACUAGCAUGCCCAGCCAGAGGUAUGUUUACUGACUGGAAUUGUCCUGCUUGACUCCCUUUCCUCCCAGUUGUCAUUCCUGCAUUUCAUUAUCCCAGCUGGCUGAUGCAAGGUUAUUCACGAGGUCACUGUCUUGCCACAGGGAGGAAGGCCAUUUGAGACCAUGGGCCUACAACAAGUUGCUCUCAACACUGUGUAGCUUGCUUCAUCAAACUUCAUAACUCAACCUCAGGCCUCGAAAAGUUGGAAACAGUGCAGGCUAAGGACAUAUCUAGGAGGGGCAUCAGCUAAGACAGGGGCUGUUUAUGAAAGAAGGCCUAAGACAAGGCAGUAGCAUCCACAUCAGCUAUGCUCAAUGCCUCGAAAAGUAGAUGCAGGUCAGGCGGGCCCAGGGUCCAACUCCUUCAGUUUUCUCUGGAGGCCUCGGAGCUGACUUAGACCCCAGUUGAUGCGAGUCUGGAGGCUGGCUAUAUCUGCAGCCAGCUGUAGGCCUGUUGAGAGAAGAGGAAUGUCAUCAUGGCAGGAUACACGGACCCCUCAUAGACUACAGGGAUGUUAGACCUCCCUAGCCUGUACAAUAGUACUAAAAUGGUCCACAUAUGCUAUCACUUGAACCACACCUUCACCUCACCUGUGCUAAACCAUCAUCUCCUCAAAAACAAAAACCCACCCUUGAUUCACUGUACUUGGCAGGAAUAAGCGAGCACCUCACAGAUCACGCAAACCUCUUUGCCCUUCCAGCAUCAAACUCCAUCACUGUUCCAAGUUGAUGUCCCUCCACCCUUUUCCUGCACCUGAGCAUGAAUCACCCUCCUCAGUCCAUCCACCUCUAGGUGGCACCCACCUCUGUUCUCCAUUCCUCUACCUUAUCCAGUAGGCCAGGCAGGCCUGUCUUUACUCUCUACCAGGCAGCAUGGCUGAUGACUCUCUCUAGCCUUCCAGGGAAUGUUUUCUCAAAAGUCUUGCUGUGGGGCUGGAGAGGUGGCUCAGAGGUUAAGAGCACUGACUGCUCUUCCAGAGGUCCUGAGUUCAAUUCCCAGCAACCACAUGGUGGCUCACAACCAUCCUUCUUCCGGUGUGUCUGAAGACAGCUACAGUGUAUUCAUAUAAAUAAAAUAAAUCUUUAAAAAAAAAAAAAAAA